rnacentral:misc_RNA from 1 species
GAUGAAGAACGCAGCGAAAUGCGAUAAGUAAUGUGAAUUGCAGAAUUCAGUGAAUCAUCGAAUCUUUGAACGCACAUUGCGCCCCCUGGUAUUCCGGGGGGCAUGCCUGUUCGAGCGUCAUUUCACCACUCAAGCCUCGCUUGGUAUUGGGCAACGCGGUCCGCCGCGUGCCUCAAAUCGUCCGGCUGGGUCUUCUGUCCCCUAAGCGUUGUGGAAACUAUUCGCUAAAGGGUGUUCGGGAGGCUACGCCGUAAAACAACCCCAUUUCUAAGGUUGACCUCGGAUCAGGUAGGGAUACCCGCUGAACUUAAGCAUAUCAAAAGCGGAGGA